rnacentral:rRNA from 1 species
AUGCACGCUGGCGGCGUGCUUCACCCCUGCCAGUCGCACGCAGCAUUUAGGACAGAUUACUUCGGUUUGAAGUUCUUUAUGACUGAGUGGCGGACGGGUGAGUAACGCGUGGGUAACCUGCCUUGUACUGGGGGAUAGCAGCUGGAAACGGCUGGUAAUACCGCAUAAGCGCACAAUGUUGCAUGACAUGGUGUGAAAAACUCCGGUGGUAUAAGAUGGACCCGCGUCUGAUUAGCUAGUUGGUGAGAUAACAGCCCACCAAGGCGACGAUCAGUAGCCGACCUGAGAGGGUGACCGGCCACAUUGGGACUGAGACACGGCCCAGACUCCUACGGGAGGCAGCAGUGGGGAAUAUUGCACAAUGGAGGAAACUCUGAUGCAGCGACGCCGCGUGAGUGAAGAAGUAAUUCGUUAUGUAAAGCUCUAUCAGCAGGGAAGAUAGUGACGGUACCUGACUAAGAAGCUCCGGCUAAAUACGUG